UCUCUCUCUCUCUCUCUCUCUCUCUCUCUCUCUCUCUCUCUCUCGUUUUUGACGGUUAAAGUUAUGUACAAUCAAGUACGUGCACAAGGGAAGACAAGGCUGAACAAACCAUAUAAAUCUGGCCAUUGCGAGCCAAUUCACUGUACCCUCAACCGCAAGCACAAGCUCGGCUUAAUUACAAACGGGCAACAGAGGUACAAAGUAUGGAUAAGGAAAACACACACCUGUACUACAAAAACUGCAAAAUAAUGCAAGAGAACGAGAGGCUGAGGAAGAUAGCUGAGCAACUCCAGAAGGAGAAUGAGGAACUGUACUCUGAGCUGCAGCAGAGACGCAUGAAAAGAUCAGCGUCCAACCCAAACCCUAAAGCUGACCCCGAUGGUGGCUCCUCUUCAACCUCCAAUCCCAGCAAACCCUGAUUAUAUCGAUAUGGUUAUCUCAAUGAGCCCUUCUGCCUAUUGCCUCUCUGGUAUACAGAUAAAAUUUACCAGCGUAUGUUCUUUCACCACCGCACUUGUUACCCACUAGUACUUAUCUUUCAGAAAUCCCAACUUUCAAAGCAAAAGGAACUUAUUAAUUAUAUAAA